rnacentral:tRNA from 1 species
CGGGGUGUGGCCUAGUGGUAAGGCGCAAGGCUGGGGGUCUUGAGACCGCAGGUUCGAAUCCUGUCACCCCGA